rnacentral:rRNA from 1 species
AAUCAACGCUGGCGGCGUGCCUAACACAUGCAAGUCGAACGCGAAAGGGGCUUCGGCCCUGAGUAGAGUGGCAAACGGGUGAGUAACACGUGGGUGACCUGCCUUCGAGUGGGGGAUAACGUCCCGAAAGGGACGCUAAUACCGCAUGACAUCCUGCCUUUGGACAGGCGGAGAUCAAAGCUAGGGAUCGCAAGACCUGGCGCUUGAAGAGGGGCCCGCGCCUGAUUAGCAGUUGGCAGGGUAACGGCCUACCAAGGCAACGAUCAGUAGCCGGCCUGAGAGGGCGGACGGCCACACUGGGACUGAGACACGGCCCAGACUCCUACGGGAGGCAGCAGUGGGGAAUUGUUCGCAAUGGGCGGCAAGCCUGACGACGCAACGCCGCGUGGAGGAUGAAGAUCUUCGGGUCGUAAACUCCUGUCGAGCGGGAAGAAUACCUGCCGGG